GAUGAACGCUGGCGGCGUGCUUAACACAUGCAAGUCGAACGGAACUUAUUGAAUGAAGUUUUCGGAUGGAUUUUGAUAAGUUUAGUGGCGGACGGGUGAGUAACGCGUGGGUAACCUGCCCUGUACAGGGGGAUAACAGUUAGAAAUGACUGUUAAUACCGCAUAAGACCACAGUGCCGCAUGGCACAGGGGUAAAAGCUGCGACGGUACAGGAUGGACCCGCGUCCGAUUAGAUAGUUGGUGAGGUAACGGCCCACCAAGUCGACGAUCGGUAGCCGAUCUGAGAGGACGAACGGCCACAUUGGGACUGAGACACGGCCCAAACUCC
rnacentral:rRNA from 1 species